rnacentral:snRNA from 1 species
AUCGCUUCUCGGCCUUUUGGCUAAGAUCAAGUAUAGUAAAAAAUAUUUGUCUUUUUAUUUUAUUUAUUUAUUUACUCAUUCCCU